GGUCUGUUCUUUCAGCGUGUCCCACUGCUGUGUCAGGACUGAAGACGUCAGCACGGUGUUGCCUUGCUCAUGGCCUCAGAGGAGGAGGAAUAAGAAGGAUCACUGAACGGGUGACGCAGGAAAAGGAGGAUUACACUGCAUGUGAUGGCAGAAGGAGGAUGGAAGAGCAUUCUUGCAAGCAGUCCAUGACCACAGAGAUCUGCGAUAGAUGUUCUUCACGUCCUCCCUGCUACACUGCGCUGCUGCCUUCCUUCCAGCUGCCUCAGCAAGGCUGCUCGGGGCAAGGGGGAGAAGCGCUGCGAGUGACACCAACGGCAGGGACAGGGACAGGCUCAGCUUGAGGGGGGAAAACAAAGCUGGCAAGGGGCCAGGCUGCAGGAAACACAAGAGAAAAUCAAGGCCUGAGGAACAGAAAAGGAUGAAGAGAAGAACUGAAAGGAUAAUUGCAGAUGGGGAGACUAAGCUGUCUGCCAGCUCGGAGGCUUAAAAAGGAAGCCUCUGCCCUUCAGGCUGGAAGUGGACUCAUGUCAGACACCAAAUCCCACAACAUCUACUCAAACAAAUCUGAGCCUGGAGACGUCCACACAGCUCUGGGCAAAUCGAGGUGCUCAGCCAGUCUGAAGGUCUUUGCUCCCCCUGCCCAAGCAUAGGCACUGGUGCCUUCAAAAGAACAUCCACAUCCUGUUAAAGAGAGAAAAGCUCAAAGGAAAGAGCAGAUGCUGGAGCGUUGCUGUGUCCUGCGUCCUGCUGAGGCGUGUCCCAUGCUGUCACAAGCAUUUCUGAUGAAAAAUUGGAGCAGCUACUGAAGCUGAAGUGACGAAGUGCAAACACCUGUCUGCUGAGAAGCAUUACAGCACCUAGUUUCGCUCACAAGGCAUUCAGAGCUAAGAUCAUUCCUUUUCCUGGCCGCCCGCCAGGUUGUCCCUCUCCUGUAACACCACUGCCUUCGAGGAGCUCAAUUCUCUCUGUCUCUGCAGCUCUCCUGGCUCCAGCUGGCCCAAGCAAGAAGAAAGAAAAGGGGUGAUUUCCCAAACUUGCCUCCCCUGGUCUGAACGGAGCUGACAAAAGUAAGCUGCAGAGCCAGGAGCUCAGCAUUUCACUUCAGCUGUCUCGCUUCCUUUAGCUACUGUGCUGAGUGCUGUUAUUGGACUUGUUGCUCCCAAAAGCAUCACUUUUAGGACUAACUCCAGAAUGACUGUGAAAUAAAGGCAGCUUACGAUCCAGGCAUAGUUCCUAAGGUUUCUAACCCUAUCAGAGCGGUUGAAUAAUGAGAACAAGAGGCAGAAACCAUCUGGAACAAAUCCUUCAGCCUCCAGCACACAGUGUUUUGAUAUUCCCCCGUGACCUGAAAGCCAGUCCAGAGCUACUUCACCUCCCCAAAGCACAGAUGUCCUCACGGAUGGGAAAGCUGUGCCUUUCUAGCACAGCUGAACUCCCCUGCUGCAUGGGAAGAGCUUUUAGAAAAGGUGCAGACAAGAUUUUUUGGUCCAAGGACUUUGUGGGGUAUUCUCUUCACCUUCUGCGGGGGGCUGUGCACAGAAGCGCGGAGAAAUUGUCUGGUAUCCAGAUACUGUCUGGGAAAAUCGGAGAGACUCAGUCUAAACUGUGUCCAGGGGAAAACCAUGCUAACGGCCACUUAGCAAGGCUGAAUGUCCUUGGCAGCUAUUAAUUAUUAUCAGCCCUUUACUUCGACAGAGUGUGUGAGAGGCUUUCGAAUGCAGCAUUCCACAAUCCCUGCACAAGCGAUUAUUGAUUUGGCACCAAAAAAAAAUAAAAAAUAAAAAACGAGGGUGAUAAGUUUCUGUUUGGAGUGGGCUGGAAGGACAUAAAUAAAACCAUAAAGUCAGGAAA